GCCUAGCUGGCUCAGUUGGUAGAGCAUGUGACUCUUGAUCUUGGGGUUGUGGGUUCAAGCCCCACGCUGGGCA